AUUGAGCGCUGGCGGCAGGCCUAACACAUGCAAGUCGAACGGUAACAGGAAGCAGCUUGCUGCUUUGCUGACGAGUGGCGGACGGGUGAGUAAUGUCUGGGAAACUGCCUGAUGGAGGGGGAUAACUACUGGAAACGGUAGCUAAUACCGCAUAAUGUCGCAAGACCAAAGAGGGGGACCUUCGGGCCUCUUGCCAUCGGAUGUGCCCAGAUGGGAUUAGCUAGUAGGUGGGGUAACGGCUCACCUAGGCGACGAUCCCUAGCUGGUCUGAGAGGGUGACCAGCCACACUGGAACUGAGACACGGUCCAGACUCCUACGGGAGGCAGCAGUGGGGAAUAUUGCACAAUGGGCGCAAGCCUGAUGCAGCCAUGCCGCGUGUAUGAAGAAGGCCUUCGGGUUGUAAAGUACUUUCAGCGGGGAGGAAGGCGAUAAGGUUAAUAACCUUGUCGAUUGACGUUACCCGCAGAAGAAGCACCGGCUAACUCCGUGCCAGCAGCCGCGGUAAUACGGAGGAUGCAAGCGUUAAUCGGAAUUACUGGGCGUAAAGCGCACGCAGGCGGUCUGUCAAGUCGGAUGUGAAAUCCCCGGGCUCAACCUGGGAACUGCAUUCGAAACUGGCAGGCUAGAGUCUUGUAGAGGGGGGUAGAAUUCCAGGUGUAGCGGUGAAAUGCGUAGAGAUCUGGAGGAAUACCGGUGGCGAAGGCGGCCCCCUGGACAAAGACUGACGCUCAGGUGCGAAAGCGUGGGGAGCAAACA
rnacentral:rRNA from 1 species